rnacentral:rRNA from 1 species
AGUCACUGACAUUAGAUACCCGUGUAGUCCAGGGUGUAAACGCUGCAGACUUGGUGUUGGAAGUCCUUUGGGGGCAUUCAGUGCCGGAGAGAAGUUGUUAAGUCUGCUACUUGGGGAGUACGUCCGCAAGGAUGAAACUUAAAGGAAUUGGCGGGGGAGCACCGCAACGGGAGGAGCGUGCGGUUUAAUUGGAUUCAACACCGUAAACUCACCAGGGAAGACUGUUACAUGAAGGCCGAGAUGAAGACUCUGCUAGAUUUUCAG